rnacentral:snoRNA from 16 species
CCCGAUGAUUGAAAAUGGAGUGAGCUGAGUUAAUGAUGACCGACUUCCCACUGAGG